UACGUAGGGUCCGAGCGUUGUCCGGAAUUAUCGGGCGUAAAGGGCUCGUAGGCGGUUCGUCACGUCGGGAGUGAAAACUCGGAGCUUAACUCCGAGCCUGCUUCCGAUACGGGCAGACUAGAGGUAGGCAGGGGAGAGCGGAACUCCUGGUGUAGCGGUGGAAUGCGCAGAUAUCAGGAAGAACACCGGUGGCGAAGGCGGGUCUCUGGGCAGUAACUGACGCUGAGGAGCGAAAGCGUGGGGAGCGAACAGG
rnacentral:rRNA from 1 species